rnacentral:lncRNA from 1 species
UUUGGUUUGAUCUAGAGAGCGUAAACAUGAAUCCUCGUUUCUACCAAUGUUUCUUAAACCCCAUUUUUACCUUAGUUAUCACCAUUUUUUUUAAUAAAGACCACAAUUUUCUUAUUGUUUGUUGCUUGUAGUGCUUCUCACGUUUAUCAGAAGCCUUGUAAAUCUGCUUUAAGGUAAGCUUCUUGCUUUUCUUCCUCAAAUUAUCACCACCGUAUCCAAUAAACAUUUCCUGGCAAAUUGAAAAUAAAUUUAGUCUAUUUCAAAAGUUAUAUUGAUCACACAUAUUACUUAAAAACUAAUUAUUAAAAGUAGGUUAGAGGAGAUAAAGAUUCAUGAAAAGUCAACAUGAUGCAAAUUUAGAGUUGAGUAUUGAAGAGUUUCAGAGUAUUUAGUCUUACUAACCUGUAUUUAAAUUUUUAUCUGCCAACUUUGCAUAAAGCUUCAC